CAGCACCUCAAGUGGUCAGGAUGAUUAUUGGGCCUAAAGCAUCCGUAGCCGGCGCUGUAAGUUUUCGGUUAAAUCUGUACGCUCAACGUACAGGCUGCCGGGAAUACUGCAGCGCUAGGGAGUGGGAGAGGUAGACGGUACUCGGUAGGAAGGGGCAAAAUCCUUUGAUCUAUUGAUGACCACCUGUGCGAAGGCGGUCUACCAGAACACGUCCGACGGUGAGGGAUGAAAGCUGGGGGAGCAAACCGGAUUAGAUACCCGAGUAGUCC
rnacentral:rRNA from 1 species